GCUGACUCCGAGGAGAAAAUAAAAUACAACAAAAAAUAAAAACCUGUGCAGGAUCCGCCUUGCAUACGACAUCCACUUUGCAUGAGAAAGGUGAAGCUGACACGGUGAUUACUUUCCAAUCACUCGAAACGCCUUGAAACCUCCUUAAGGACCCCUACAGGCUCUCCUUGAUCAGCACAGAUUAGAAAAAGCCCCAUUUGUUUCUCUCUCCUCCUGUCUUACUUUCCUUCCUUUCUCCUCUCUCUCCCGUUGCCCUCCCUUGAAAGUUUAACAAGAUCCUUUCUCUGGAAGGCGUCAGCCUCUCCUCCCUCGCCCAGUUUAAGAAAAAAACCCAAGUAAGUCUGCUACAGAAGAAUCUCUGCUCCUCAUACUGUUUGUAAAGCAUCAACAAAGUAUCUUUACCAGGCAGAUGGCAGAAUGAUGGAAG
rnacentral:lncRNA from 1 species